rnacentral:rRNA from 1 species
GGCUACAGGCUUAACACAUGCAAGUCGAGGGGCAGCAUCAUCAAAGCUUGCUUUGAUGGAUGGCGACCGGCGCACGGGUGAGUAACACGUAUCCAACCUGCCGACAACACUGGGAUAGCCUUUCGAAAGAAAGAUUAAUACCGGAUGGCAUAGUUUUCCCGCAUGGGAUAAUUAUUAAAGAAUUUCGGUUGUCGAUGGGGAUGCGUUCCAUUAGGCAGUUGGCGGGGUAACGGCCCACCAAACCAACGAUGGAUAGGGGUUCUGAGAGGAAGGUCCCCCACAUUGGAACUGAGACACGGUCCAAACUCCUACGGGAGGCAGCAGUGAGGAAUAUUGGUCAAUGGACGAGAGUCUGAACCAGCCAAGUAGCGUGAAGGAUGACUGCCCUAUGGGUUGUAAACUUCUUUUAUACGGGAAUAAAGUGAGCCACGUGUGGCUUUUUGUAUGUACCGUAUGAAUAAGGAUCGGCUAACUCCGUGCCAGCAGCCGCGGUAAUACGGAGGAUCCGAGCGUUAUCCGGAUUUAUUGGGUUUAAAGGGAGCGUAGGCGGGUUGUUAAGUCAGUUGUGAAAGUUUGCGGCUCAACCGUAAAAUUGCAGUUGAUACUGGCGACCUUGAGUGCAACAGAGGUAGGCGGAAUUCGUGGUGUAGCGGUGAAAUGCUUAGAUAUCACGAAGAACUCCGAUUGCGAAGGCAGCUUACUGGAUUGUAACUGACGCUGAUGCUCGAAGGUGUGGGUAUCAAACAGGAUUAGAUACCCUGGUAGUCCACACAGUAAACGAUGAAUACUCGCUGUUGGCGAUAUACGGUCAGCGGCCAAGCGAAAGCAUUAAGUAUUCCACCUGGGGAGUACGCCGGCAACGGUGAAACUCAAAGGAAUUGACGGGGGCCCGCACAAGCGGAGGAACAUGUGGUUUAAUUCGAUGAUACGCGAGGAACCUUACCCGGGCUUAAAUUGCAACUGACGGAACCGGAAACGGUUCUUUCUUCGGACAGUUGUGAAGGUGCUGCAUGGUUGUCGUCAGCUCGUGCCGUGAGGUGUCGGCUUAAGUGCCAUAACGAGCGCAACCCUUACGGGUAGUUACCAUCAGGUUAUGCUGGGGACUCUACCCGGACUGCCGUCGUAAGAUGUGAGGAAGGUGGGGAUGACGUCAAAUCAGCACGGCCCUUACGUCCGGGGCUACACACGUGUUACAAUGGGGGGUACAGAAGGCAGCUACACGGCGACGUGGUGCUAAUCCCAAAAGCCUCUCUCAGUUCGGAUUGGAGUCUGCAACCCGACUCCAUGAAGCUGGAUUCGCUAGUAAUCGCGCAUCAGCCACGGCGCGGUGAAUACGUUCCCGGGCCUUGUACACACCGCCCGUCAAGCCAUGAAAGCCGGGGGUACCUGAAGUACGUAACCGCGAGGAGCGUCCUAGGGUAAAACUGGUGAUUGGGGCUAAGU